rnacentral:rRNA from 1 species
CCUACGUGAGGCAGCAGUGAGGAAUAUUGGUCAAUGGGGGAAACCCUGAUGCAGCGACGCCGCGUGAGUGAUGAAGGAUUUCGGUUUGUAAAGCUCUAUCAUCAGGGAAGAGAAUGACGGUACCUGAGGAAGAAGCCCCGGCUAACUACGUGCCAGCAGCCGCGGUAAUACGUAGGGGGCAAGCGUUAUCCGGAUUUACUGGGCGUAAAGGGAGCGUAGGCGGGAAAGCAAGUCUGAAGUGAAAGCCCACGGCUCAACCGCGGAACUGCUUUGGAAACUUUUAUGCUGGAGUAUCGGAGAGGUAAGUGGAAUUCCUGGUGUAGCGGUGAAAUGCGUAGAGAUUAGGAGGAACACCAGUGGCGAAGGCGGCUUACUGGACGGUAACUGACGUUGAGGCUCGAAAGCGUGGGGAGCAAACAGGAUUAGAUACCCGUGUAGUC